CGUACACUCCUGCGGGAGGCAGCAGUGAGGAAUAUUGGACAAUGGGUGGAAGCCUGAUCCAGCCAUCCCGCGUGCAGGAAGACGGCCCUAUGGGUUGUAAACUGCUUUUAUCUGGGGAUAAACCUACUUACGUGUAAGUAGCUGAAGGUACCAGAAGAAUAAGCACCGGCUAACUCCGUGCCAGCAGCCGCGGUAAUACGGAGGGUGCAAGCGUUAUCCGGAUUUAUUGGGUUUAAAGGGUCCGUAGGCGGACUGAUAAGUCAGUGGUGAAAUCCGACAGCUUAACUGUCGAACUGCCAUUGAUACUGUUAGUCGUGAGUAAGGUUGAAGUGGCUGAAUAAGUAGUGUAGCGGUGAAAUGCAUAGAUAUUACUUAGAACACCAAUUGCGAAGGCAGGUCACUAAGUCUUAACUGACGCUGAUGGACGAAAGCGUGGGUAGCGAACAGGAUUAGAUACCCCAGUAGUCCCAUGAU
rnacentral:rRNA from 1 species